rnacentral:piRNA from 1 species
UGCAUCAGCAGUUUGACUAUGUCCUUGAA